AAGAGCGAGGCUCAUUAUGAAGAAGGAAGCAGUCAUUCAAGAGCAUGCUUCCCUGGAAAAUCAAUUGGUUUCUUUAUAGACAUAGAUAAACAGCCUCACUGCAGAAGUAGAUAACCUUACAAGCAAGGUUAGUUCCAUAAAGAAGGAAUAUGAUCAAGCCCAAUCUGAGCUCAAUUUGAGUUGUUCAAAGAUGAAAGAAUGUGACGCUGAGAUCAGUGCCAUUUUCAAGGAGCAACAGAAGCUUCAACAUAAAAUUAGUGAUGCAAAUGUUGAGAGGAAAAAAUUGGAAAAUGAGAUUAAGCGAAUGGAGAUGGAACAGAAAGAUUGCUCCCUGAAGGUAGAUAAACUACUAGAAAGGCAUAGUUGGAUUGCAGCUGAGAAAUAAUUAUUUGAAAAAAGUGGGACAGAUUAUGACUUCUCAUCUUGUGAUCCUCGUAAAUCAAGGGAGGAGCUUGAGAAACUUCAAGCUGAACAAUCUGGAAGGUUAUUGGACAUGCAUCUCAGUUAAUCUAAUUGAUUGCUUUCAGCCUUGAAAAGAGGGUCAACAAAAAAGUUAUGGCAAUAUUCGAGAAAGCUGAAGAUGAAUACAAUGACUUAUUAUCCAAGAAAAAUAUCAUUGAGAAUGACAAGUCAAAAAUCAAGAAGGUGAUUGAAGAGCUUGAUGAAAAGAAGAAGGAAACACUAAAAGUUUCUUGGGUUAAAGUGAACAAGCUGACAAGUUAAAGAAGUCAGUGGAGGAUGAAAUUCAUUUUCUCAAGGAAAGGGUUUCAGAACUUGAAAGUAAUCUUGUGUCGAAGUCCACAGAAGUUACAUCUGCAAUUUUAAGGAAAGAAGAAGCUCUAUCUUUUUCAUUUGCUGAAAUUGACUGUCUAAAGGAAGAAAAUUCUGUAAAAACAUGAGCAUUAUUAAAUGCAUAUGGAGGGUGUUUACUGUGUUGGAGUGUAUUUGUUUCUUGCACAUGAGGGCACGCCUUAGUUGUAAUUCUUAUGAUAGGUUGAGUAAAGUAAAGUAUUGUUUAUUUAGAAA